UACGUAGGGGGCAAGCGUUGUCCGGAAUCAUUGGGCGUAAAGCGCGCGUAGGCGGCUAGAUCAGUCUGCUGUAAAAGUCAAAGGCUCAACCUUUGAAAGCCGGUGGAUACUGUCUAGCUAGAGUCCGGAAGAGGCGAGUGGAAUUCCUGGUGUAGCGGUGGAAUGCGCAGAUAUCAGGAGGGACACCAACGGCGAAGGCAGCUCGCUGGGACGGUACUGACGCUAAGGCGCGAAAGCGUGGGGAGCGAACAGG
rnacentral:rRNA from 1 species